CUUGGUGGUGAGUUUGGCUGCAAGAGGCAUGUUGUUUCCAGCUGCUGAUGGGUGGCUAGCACUGCACCAGAGAGGAGAGCGGGGAGGAAUGUCAGCCCCACAGUCAGAAACCAGACUGGCCGGCAGCACGCAACCAGGAACGGCACACAUUCGGCAGGAUGUGCAGUUCCAUUAUCUUACGGCAUAAAGUCCUCAAGGUCCAUCCCUGACGGAGCAGGUGACAGAAUGUCCUCACAAGUCCUUGUGAGGACCACAGUUUGUUUACUCGUCAUCCAUCGAUGGGCGCGUAUGUUGCUUCCACCCCUUGC
ensembl:lncRNA